GAUUGAACGCUGGCGGCAGGCCUAACACAUGCAAGUCGAGCGGAAACGAGUUAUCUGAACCUUCGGGGRACGAUAACGGCGUCGAGCGGCGGACGGGUGAGUAAUGCCUAGGAAAUUGCCCUGAUGUGGGGGAUAACCAUUGGAAACGAUGGCUAAUACCGCAUNAUGCCUACGGGCCAAAGAGGGGGACCUUCGGGCCUCUCGCGUCAGGAUAUGCCUAGGUGGGAUUAGCUAGUUGGUGAGGUAAGGGCUCACCAAGGCGACGAUCCCUAKCUGGUCUGAGAGGAUGAUCAGCCACACUGGAACUGAGACACGGUCCAGACUCCUACGGGAGGCAGCAGUGGGGAAUAUUGCACAAUGGGCGCAAGCCUGAUGCAGCCAUGCCGCGUGUGUGAAGAAGGCCUUCGGGUUGUAAAGCACUUUCAGUCGUGAGGAAGGUAGUGUAGUUAAUAGCUGCAUUAUUUGACGUUAGCGACAGAAGAAGCACCGGCUAACUCCGUGCCAGCAGCCGCGGUAAUACGGAGGGUGCGAGCGUUAAUCGGAAUUACUGGGCGUAAAGCGCAUGCAGGUGGUUUGUUAAGUCAGAUGUGAAAGCCCGGGGCUCAACCUCGGAAUAGCAUUUGAAACUGGCAGACUAGAGUACUGUAGAGGGGGGUAGAAUUUCAGGUGUAGCGGUGAAAUGCGUAGAGAUCUGAAGGAAUACCGGUGGCGAAGGCGGCCCCCUGGACAGAUACUGACACUCAGAUGCGAAAGCGUGGGGAGCAAACAGGAUUAGAUACCCUGGUAGUCCACGCCGUAAACGAUGUCUACUUGGAGGUUGUGGCCUUGAGCCGUGGCUUUCGGAGCUAACGCGUUAAGUAGACCGCCUGGGGAGUACGGUCGCAAGAUUAAAACUCAAAUGAAUUGACGGGGGCCCGCACAAGCGGUGGAGCAUGUGGUUUAAUUCGAUGCAACGCGAAGAACCUUACCUACUCUUGACAUCCAGAGAACUUUCCAGAGAUGGAUUGGUGCCUUCGGGAACUCUGAGACAGGUGCUGCAUGGCUGUCGUCAGCUCGUGUUGUGAAAUGUUGGGUUAAGUCCCGCAACGAGCGCAACCCUUAUCCUUGUUUGCCAGCGAGUAAUGUCGGGAACUCCAGGGAGACUGCCGGUGAUAAACCGGAGGAAGGUGGGGACGACGUCAAGUCAUCAUGGCCCUUACGAGUAGGGCUACACACGUGCUACAAUGGCGCAUACAGAGGGCGGCCAACUUGCGAAAGUGAGCGAAUCCCAAAAAGUGCGUCGUAGUCCGGAUUGGAGUCUGCAACUCGACUCCAUGAAGUCGGAAUCGCUAGUAAUCGUGGAUCAGAAUGCCACGGUGAAUACGUUCCCGGGCCUUGUACACACCGCCCGUCACACCAUGGGAGUGGGCUGCAAAAGAAGUAGGUAGUUUAACCUUCGGGGGGACGCUUACCACUUUGUGGUUCAUGACUGGGGUGAAGUCGUAACAAGGUAACC
rnacentral:rRNA from 1 species